rnacentral:rRNA from 1 species
UACGUAGGGUGCAAGCGUUAAUCGGAAUUACUGGGCGUAAAGCGUGCGCAGGCGGUUAUGCAAGACAGAUGUGAAAACCCCGGGCUUAACCUGGGAACCGCAUUUGUGACUGCAUAGCUGGAGUACGGCAGAGGGGGAUGGAAUUCCGCGUGUAGCAGUGAAAUGCGUAGAUAUGCGGAGGAACACCGAUGGCGAAGGCAGUCCCCUGGGCCUGUACUGACGCUCAUGCACGAAAGCGUGGGGAGCAAACAGG